GAAAGUCCUCACGAAUGGAGGAGUCGUUGGUGGCAAGCUUGACUGAGGACAUGCCAUCUUCUACGAUUGUUGAUGAGGUAGUCUUUGCUUCACUUCUAUUUCUAUCUUGUUCGUUGUAGUGAGGAUCUUUAAUAUUGGUAAUUUUCUUUGCAGGAUGCUGACAAAAUUGUGCGUUCUAUCUAAGACUUGUUCGCUUCUUGGGGGCAAGUCCAGACGUCUCGCCCUGCUCCAUCUGAUCGUCCUGCUACUUCUUCAGAGGAAGAUUUGAAGUUCCUCAAGGAGUCGAUACUUGAGUACGUAUCCUUCAUGGAUAUGGAUAUUGGAAGGGCUAGUGCUACCAGACACAAAGAUAAACUUGAGCACUUGAGUGCGAAGUUGGAGCAAGCACUGACGCUUCCGUCGCUCAAUCUUUCUGCCGAUUUUAAAGCGACGUUGAAGGUUAUCCACUCCGAGGUCCUUUCUUUGUUGGCCAAGAAUGCUGAACUAAAGGCUAAAAGUACUUAAUAUCUUUGAGCCGUAGCUGAGAAAGAGUCUUUGCGUAUGGAGAUUAACAAGGCUGAG
rnacentral:lncRNA from 1 species